rnacentral:rRNA from 1 species
GAAGACGAUCAGAUACCGUCGUAGUUCCGACCGUAAACGAUGCCGACCCGCGAUCCGGCGGCGUUAUUCCCAUGACCCGCCGGGCAGCGCCCGGGAAACCACCAAGUCUUUGGGUUCCGGGGGGAGUAUGGUUGCAAAGCUGAAACUUAAAGGAAUUGACGGAAGGGCACCACCAGGAGUGGAGCCUGCGGCUUAAUUUGACUCAACACGGGAAACCUCACCCGGCCCGGACACGGACAGGAUUGACAGAUUGACGGCUCUUUCUCGAUUCCGUGGGUGGUGGUGCAUGGCCGUUCUUAGUUGGUGGAGCGAUUUGUCUGGUUAAUUCCGAUAACGAACGAGACUCCGGCAUGCUAACUAGUUACGCGGCCCGCAGCGGCCGGCGUCCAACUUCUUAGAGGGACAAGUGGCGUUCAGCCACGCGAGAUUGAGCAAUAACAGGUCUGUGAUGCCCUUAGAUGUCCGGGGCUGCACGCGCGCCACACUGAGCGGACCAGCGCGCCCCCCCGCCCCGCGCCGGCAGGCGCGGGUAACCUCCGAACCCCGCUCGUGAUAGGGACUGGGGACUGCAAUUAUUUCCCACCAACGAGGAAUUCCCAGUAAGCGCGAGUCAUAAGCCCGCGUUGAUUAAGUCCCUGCCCUUUGUACACACCGCCCGUCGCUACUACCGAUCGGAUGGCUUAGUGAGGUCCUCGGAU